AAUGAACGCUGGCGGCAGGCUUAACACAUGCAAGUCGAACGAGUGGCGGACGGGUGAGUAAUGCUUGGGAAUCUCGCUUAUGGAGGGGGAUAACUACGGGAAACUGUAGCUAAUACCGCGUACCAUAGGAUGAGCCCAAGUGGGAUUUGGGAGUUGGUGGGGUAAAGGCUCACCAAGCCGACGACCUCUAGCUGGUCUGAGAGGAGGACUGGCCAAAUUGGGACUGGGCACAGGCCCAGACCCCGAGGGGGGGCAGCAGGGGGGAAUAUUGCGCAAUGGGGGCAACCCUGAUGCAGCCAUGCCGGGUGAAGGAAGAAGGCCUUCGGGUUGUAAAGUACUUUCAGCGGGGAGGCGUUACCCGCAGAAGAAGCACCGGCUAACUCCGUGCCAGCAGCCGCGGUAAUAC
rnacentral:rRNA from 1 species